rnacentral:rRNA from 1 species
UACGUAGGGGGCAAGCGUUGUCCGGAUUUAUUGGGCGUAAAGAGCGUGUAGGCGGCUAUACAGGUCCGUUGUGAAAACUCGAGGCUCAACCUCGAGACGCCGAUGGAAACCGCAUGGCUAGAGUCCGGAAGAGGAGAGCGGAAUUCCUGGUGUAGCGGUGGAAUGCGCAGAUAUCAGGAGGAACACCGGUGGCGAAGGCGGGAUCCUGGGCCAGUACUGACGCUGAGGAGCGAAAGCGUGGGGAGCAAACAGG